GACUCUAUUUUGAAGGGAACAAAUUCAUUGGUAAGAUCCCUGCCUCCAUUGGGAAUCUUAAUCUGCUAAAUGUUCUUGAAAUGCAAGAGAAUACAUUAGAAGGAAGCAUACCUAUUUCUCUGGGUAACUGUAAAGUAUUGCAACACUUGGAUCUUUCACAGAAUAGAAUUACUGGUGCAAUACUUGAAGAACUUACGGGCCUUCAAUCAUUCACUCUCAGUCUUUCUGAACUUAGCUCAGAACUGUCUCAGUGGACUUUUACCAACAGGGGUGGGUAACUUGAUAAAUCUUGGGAGAUUGGAUGUUUCAAACAAUAGAUUGUCUGGAGAGCUUCCAUCCUCCCUUGGCUUUUGUGAAGUUUUAGAGUUUCUGAGUCUGCAGGGCAACCUUUUUAAAGGCCCAAUUCCAUCAUCAUUGCAUCUAUUGAGAGGAAUUCAACUUCAAGAUCUUUCUAGAAAUUCUCUCUCUGGUAGCAUUCCUGUGAGUCUUGCACUGUUUCGCUUGAUACAGUUUCUGAAUCCUUCUUAUGAUAUGUUGGAAGGAGAAGUGCCAAACGAAGGUCUUUUUAUGAACUCUACAAUGUUUUCCAUUGCUGGAAGUGAAAAGCCAUAUGGAAGUUUAGAGUCCGCAAAUAGCAAGUUUAACUUGAUUGGAGUUUUGAUCUUCACGUUUGAUGGUUUCCUUGUUUCUUUUCUCCUAGCAUACCUAACUGCUUUCUGCUGCUCCACAAGAAAGAGCAGAAUUUCUAGUACAUCUUCAGACUCUCCUCUGGGAGAUCAAUAUCUUAAACUUUCUUAUACAGAACUUCAUCAAGCUGCUGAUGGCUUUUUCCAACCAAUUUAAUUGCUGAGGGAAGAUAUAGUUCUAUCUUCAAGGGAAUUUUCGAGUACAGUGAAGGAGCAGUUUCUGUGAAGGUACUGAACCUUCAACACUGAGGAUCCAGAAAAGAGUUUUAUGCCUGAAUGUGAAGCUCUGAGGAAAAUUCGUCGCAGAAAUCUAGUCAAGAUAAUUACAUCUUUCUCAAGCAUUGAUUUCAGAGGCAACGAGUUCUAAGCCUUGGUUUAUGGGUUCAUGCCUAACGGGAGUUUGGAAAACUGGUUACAUCCAAAUUCUUCUAACUUACUGCAGCCAAAGAACUUGAACUUUAUUUGGAGGUUAAACAUUGCUGUAGAUGUUGCCUCAGCAUUAGAGUAUAUUCACCACUGCUGUGAAAUCCCACCCAAUCAUCGUGACAUAAAGCCAAGUAACCGGCUUCUCACUGAGCAACUUUGCGCUCAUUUAAGUGACUUUGGCUUUGCAAGUUGGUUGAGGUCUCUGAUUUUCUUAUUUCAAUCUUCAAUUGUCACUCAUACUCAAACCAGAAGAUGUGCCAGUCAUAAAAUUGAAAGGUGUUUGGCUUCUGCUUUCCAUGUCAGAGUUUCGAGUUCAGCUCAGAGGCCAAGAGAAAGGAUGGAUGCAGUGGAUGCAUUGAUGAACCUAUAGGCGGCUAGGGAUGUAGUUUUUAAGCAUGAAUGCUCAAAAAUGAAGUGUCGUUUACUGCUCAUUCCCCAUCAAAAGUUGUUGAUAGUGCAGAUGAAAUUAGUGAAGGAUACCCGCUCCUGGGAAAUUGGAUACGUACGGCAAAAGGGAUUUUGACCAAAGGCCUAAGAGAGAGCUAGAGCCCAACAUCAUGGAGCAACGUUUACAAGGAAAACUGUAGGUAUCCACAGCAGCUGGAUUAAAAUUCUGGGUACAUUUCUCAUUUUUCAAACUACAUCCCCAUAGUCACUAGCUGUAAGAGAGUGAUUCUACAUUUACUUGCAAGUCGUAACCAGAAUUCUUAUCAGGAGGAGCUGAAAUGUCAUUGUGUGGUGUGAGCCAAGCUGCAAUGGGAGCCUGACAAACUAAAUAUAAUUUGUCAAGUUUCCAGCAAAUCUGGCAUUGGCACUACAUUAGCCAAAAUAAACAGUAGUUUAUUUCCCAAAAGGAGGUACUCUUUUCAUCGGAUAUGGUUAUCUACACAGGAUUCCAGCUAAACUUUGCCAGGCCAUACCCAACACAUUGCAUUUGCAUAGCCCAUCCACCUAGGAAAUGAAGGUCCAAUUUGAAAUGCAUAUGCUUUCAAGUGUUAUACUCUGUUUCCUGAACUCUAUAACAUUAGUCACUCACGCCUACUGCAGCCAGCAAUUUAGUCAGUUCGUCAAAUUAGACAGACUGGCAAGCUUUGCUUGCCAUGAAAGUUCAAAUUGAGAGUGACCCUUUUCUAGUUCUUAACUUCUUGGAACAGUUCUUUUGAUCAAAGCGAGACAGCCUUAAACUUGCCGUCACUGAAAAUUGGGAGCUUCCUUCAGUUACAUAGUUAAGGAACUCAAUCUUGCAUAAUAGCUUCUUUGAUGGUAUAAUACCUCAUAAGUUCGGUCAUCUUUUGUGCCUGCAGCAUAUUUCACUUCAUAUUUGACUUUUUUCCAAGGUGAUAUUCCUAGAAAUCUAACUUAUGCAGACAUCGAAGUCAUUAAUUUGAAAAGCAACAAUCUUGAAAGUGAAGUUCCUGCUUUCAUUUAAUAACCUCCUUGUGUUGCAUCUUUCUGUGAAUCAUUUCAGAGGAAUGAUACCACAUUCACUAGGGAAUCUGUGUGCUUUACACAUCCUCAGUCUAUCAGGUAACAUUAUUGAAGGAAGCAUUCCUGAAGAACUUGGAAAGCUCUCCAAUUUGAGUUCUAUUAAAUUGUCUUGCAACAAGUUCUCUGCAGUACCUAUGCAGCUUUUUUAACAUCUCAUCAGUUCAGUAUCUUGUUCUCCAGUCCAACCAUUUAAAUGAUUCUCUCUCCUUAGAUUUCAGCCUUACCAUUCAAAAUUUCAUACUCGACACGUUGCAGAAAACCAGUUUUUUGGACCAAUGCCUGCAUCCAUAACCAACGAUUCAAGAGAAUUUGCAUGAGGAUUUAAGGAUUUAUGUAAAAUCAAGUUCUACUAAUAUAAUCAAACCACAUUGCAGUUUUUCAUUCUAGAUCCCUCGAAACUUGGUUAUUGAAAACCCUUCGGAAACAUAGCUAGCAAAUUUGGACAAUGCAUCAAGCUACAUAAAAUAUAACCAUUCUCUAGUUCUGCUUCCUAACAGAGAAGUAGAGGUCCAAGCAAGAAAGGAGCAAUACCUGUAUCUACAGGAGUUUCACUCUGCUUAGAUUAUGGACAAUUCAAUUCUGUCAAGGAAUUUAUCUAACUGCCCAAGAGGCCAUUAUCCAGAGGUUAAACAUGUUCCGAUGAGCUAUGGGAUACGACGAUGCAGUGACCAGAAUACUUUCUCAUUCUACUUAUCCAAGCUCAAGAAUAUUAUAGAAAUUCUUUCAAGAAUCUAAACAUGUACAACGAAGGGAACAUAGCUUGUCUUAAUAAUUCGAUGGACUGAAACAUCGUUUGACAUAGAAAAAGAUCAUGAAAGAAAUAUGUACCUGAACUUAUUCGCAAAUCAUGGAUUUAGCUCCCAAAUCAAAGUGAAACUCCAUGCAAAAGGCUCACCUGCAAUAACUAAAAUCUGGGAGACUGCCCAGCACAUUCCAGUGUAGAAUAUACAUAAACAUUCUAUAACCU